AUACGUAGGUGACAAGCGUUAUCCGGAUUUACUGGGCGUAAAGGGCGUGUAGGCGGUCUUGCAAGUCAGAAGUGAAAUUCCUGAGCUCAACUCGGGCGCUGCUUCUGAAACUGCAGGACUUGAGUGCUGGAGGGGAUAGCGGAAUUCCUAGUGGAGCGGUAAAAUGCGCAGAUAUUAGGAAGAACACCGGUGGCGAAGGCGGGUAUCAGGACAGUAACUGACGAUGAGGCGCGAAAGCGUGAGGAGCAAAAAGAAUUAGAUACCCUGGUAGUCCACGCUGUAAACGAUGAAUACUAGGUGUAGGGGGUAUCGACUCCCUCUGUGCCGCAGUUAACACAAUAAGUAUUCCGCCUUGGUAGUACGGCCGCAAGGUUGAAACUCAAAUGAAUUGACGGGG
rnacentral:rRNA from 1 species